GAUGAACGCUGGCGGUAUGCUUAACACAUGCAAGUCGAACGGACUCUUCGGAGUUAGUGGCGGACGGGUGAGUAACGCGUGAGAAUCUGGCUUUGGGUUCGGGACAACCACUGGAAACGGUGGCUAAUACCGGAUGUGCCGAGAGGUAAAAGAGAAAUUGCCUGAAGAUGAGCUCGCGUCUGAUUAGCUAGUUGGUGAGGUAAAGGCUCACCAAGGCAGCGAUCAGUAGCUGGUCUGAGAGGAUGACCAGCCACACUGGGACUGAGACACGGCACAGACUCCUACGGGAGGCAGCGGGGGAGAAUUAUCCGAAAUGGGCGAGAGUGUGACGGAGGAAUACCGCGUGAGGAAAGAAGGCUCUUGGGUUGUAAAGCUCUUUUCUUAGAGAAGAACAAAAUGACGGUACCUAAGGAAUAAGCACCGGCUAACUCCGUG
rnacentral:rRNA from 1 species